GGACGGUUGGAUCUGGAGUUAACAGAUAUAACAAAAGACUUGAGUUAAAUAGAAAAAUACAGUUUCAAGGUGUUGUAAGUACAGCAAUACAAAUAACCGUCCUCGUGCUCUUUGUCAGAAAGCGACACCUGUAGGUGCGCAUCUCUUCGACCACAAAACCGCCAACAGAUGGUGCCUUCCGCCUCAGGAUCGUGAGGAGUGAGCUGUCAGAAUAUUUCAAUGGAGAACAAGGAUGCCAGCCGAGGUCCUGAGUACGCAGAAAAGACCGCAACACAAUAAAAACGGCGGGACUGCUGGUAAACAGGGGUUUGUAAAAAGGAAAAUCAGACUGAAAUCAAAUAGCUUACAUUUUGUACUUUGUUAACUAAGAAAAAUGUUGUGCAUCUGAAUUCAGAUGAUAUAAUAUCGUAAGAUUGAGUAACCCCUUUCCUCGUUAUUUUUGGGAACGUGGGUAUAAAAUGCAUCACUACGUAAAUAAAUUUUUCAUUGUUUUUUCUCCAACGUAUUUUAUUUUUUGACUCUGUGCUUUGAAUUCAGUGGGAUUCAACACACACCUGUUAUAUAAUCACAUUUUGUUUGGCGUUUCUUCCGAGUAAAUAAUGGUGAUGUCAUCCUCCCCUGACGGAUGCAGAGGAAAAACUCACUCAUCUUGCCUAAGCGCCUGUAAACAUGGAUGACCACUUGAAUUAUCGAUGCACUAUAUACGAUUUAAAUUACUUGUGUGAAAUAGACUGUCGGUAUGCAGAAAAGAAAAUACAUUUAAGAAUGUUUGUACUUUUUAGUUAGCUUUCCUCAUGUGAUGGGCAAUCUUGAAAUGUUGCUCAAUUAAAACGGUCUUUUUAUAUUCCAACUGCGCUAAGGAUGAACAUCACUUUUGAUAGUUGUUUUCUACUGUCAUUUCGUUUUAUUAAGUUGUUAAUUCUGUUUGCUGUUUCAAUAUUGACAACUGAAUAGCGAAGAAAAGUAAACUGUUUUUAAACUACUGAAAUGGUGAAACGGCCUUGCGUUCGCAGAAUUGUGUAGAAGUGUUAAGGCAGAUAAUGCUGAUUGGAACAAUGCAAGAAAGGGUAGCGAUUCACGUUUACCGUACAUAAGCUGUUUUAUACAUCGCACAAACUGUAGUUCAAUUGCAGUGCUGAAUGUGUAUUAUAAAGAAUGUGUUCUUUACAUGCUAAGUAAUAUUUAUUACAUUGUGAAUCCUGUUAUCACUUAAGGUUUAUACAAUACGGAUUUAAAAAAUAAAAUGUUUUUAUGCCAU